AUUGAACGCUGGCGGCAGGCCUAACACAUGCAAGUCGAGCGGAUGAGGGGUGCUUGCAUCCCGAUUCAGCGGCGGACGGGUGAGUAAUGCCUAGGAAUCUGCCCGAUAGUGGGGGACAACGUUUCGACAGGACCGCUACUACCGCCUACGUCCUACGGGAGAAAGUGGGGGCCCUUCGGACCCCCCGCAACCGGACGAGCCUAGGUCGGAUUAGCUAGUUGGUGGGGUAAAGGCUCACCAAGGCGACGAUCCGUAACUGGUCGGAGAGGAUGAUCAGUCACACUGGAACUGAGACACGGUCCAGACUCCUACGGGAGGCAGCAGUGGGGAAUAUUGGACAAUGGGCGAAAGCCUGAUCCAGCCAUGCCGCGUGUGUGAAGAAGGUCUUCGGAUUGUAAAGCACUUUAAGUCGGGAGGAAGGGCUGCAGGUUAAUACCUUGCAGCCUUGACGUUACCGACAGAAUAAGCACCGGCUAACUUCGUGCCAGCAGCCGCCGUAAGAC
rnacentral:rRNA from 1 species